rnacentral:rRNA from 1 species
UACAGAGGGUGCGAGCGUUAAUCGGAAUUACUGGGCGUAAAGCGCGCGUAGGCGGCUUUGCAAGUCGAUUGUGAAAUCCCCAGGCUUAACCUGGGAACUGCAUUCGAGACUGCAUAGCUAGAGUAUGGGAGAGGGAAGUGGAAUUUCAGGUGUAGCGGUGAAAUGCGUAGAUAUCGGAAGGAACAUCAGUGGCGAAAGCGGCUUCCUGGACCAGCACCGACGUCAGGCACGAAAGCGUGGGGAGCAAACAGG